GUGAGGAAUUUUCCGCAAUGGGCGAAAGCCUGACGGAGCAAUGCCGCGUGAAGGAUGAAGGCCUAUGGGUUGUAAACUUCUUUUCUCAGAAAAGAAUUAUGACGGUAUCUGAGGAAUAAGCAUCGGCUAACUCUGUGCCAGCAGCCGCGGUAAGACAGAGGAUGCAAGCGUUAUCCGGAAUGAUUGGGCGUAAAGCGUCUGUAGGUUGUUUAAAAAGUAUUCUGUCAAAGAUUAGGGCUUAACCCUAGAUAGGCAGAAUAAACUUUUAAGCUAGAGUUUGGUAGAGGCAGAGGGAAUUCCCGGUGGAGCGGUGAAAUGCGUAGAUAUCGGGAGGAACACCAAAGGCGAAGGCACUCUGCUGGGCCAAUACUAACACUGAGAGACGAAAGCGAGGGGAGCAAAUGGGAUUAGAUACCUCAGUAGUCC
rnacentral:rRNA from 1 species